CUCUCUCUCUAAAUAAAAGCGACUCUCAAACCAAACUCCCUCCCUCAAUUUCCGGGCCAAACGAGUUUCCAGCAACGCCACCGGCGCACAUGAGCCCCCGCCACCCGCCCCGGAAUUAACCUGCGCCAUGGGCGACACCGACACCGUCGCCACUGCCAAGGUCUUCCGCUCCCUGGUCGAAUCCGCCGACCGCAAGUUCGCCCGCGUCCGCGACCUUCCCACACACGGCUCCCGUGGGCCCCACCACCAACACUAUUUCCACAAGGUCUUCAAGGCCUACACCAAGCUCUGGAAGUUCCAGCAGGAGAACCGCUCCCGGCUCGUCCAAUCCGGUCUGAACCGGUGGGAAAUCGGCGAAAUCGCCUCCCGGAUCGGCCAGCUCUACUACGGCCAGUACCUCAGGACCAGCGAGGCCCGGUUCUUGCUCGAAUCCUACGUUUUCUACGAGGCGAUCCUCAACCGCGGCUACUUCGAAGCCGGCAGCUGCAGCAGUGGGGGCCCGCAGAAGGAUCUCGGCCUUCGGUUCAAGGAAUUACGCUUCUUCGCGAGGUUCCUAGUCGUUUCUCUGUUGUUGAAUCGGACGGAGACGGUGCGGGCCCUCGUCGAUCGCUUUAGGGCAUUGGUAGAUGACAGCCGCUCCGCUUUCCCGGACACAAAUUUUAAAGAAUGGAAGCAAGUGGUGCAAGAAAUUGUCAGGUUUUUGAAAGCUGAUACAGCUUUUAUGAAUAUCAGGCCUUUGCGUUAUUGUAUGCUUUUUGAUUCACAUCCGGCUUCCCUUCCACACGUGGCUCGUUUCCAUGCAAGGAGAAUUCUAAAGCUUAAAGAUGCUGUACUGACGAGCUAUCAUCGGAAUGAGGUCAAGUUUACGGAGCUUACUCUGGACACGUUCAGAAUGCUGCAAUGCUUGGAGUGGGAACCUAGUGGAUCAUUCUACCAAAUGCGUACAAAGGAAUCAAGUAAUAAUGGUGCUUAUGCUGAUCAGUCUGGACCGUCUGGACUGAUUGAUAUAAAUCUCGCUGCAGAUAUGACUGAUCCAACUUUGCCUCCAAAUCCACGGAAGUAUAUUCUUUAUCGUCCUUCUGUCACACAUUUGAUUUCGGUAAUUGCUACAAUUUGUGAAGAGCUCCCUCCAGAUAGUAUUCUGCUAUUAUAUAUAUCAGCAUCAGGAAAGGCUGGUCAGAAGACAGAAAGUUCUGGAGCUUCAAAGAAGUCUUCAAACUGUGAACGGGAUAGUUCACUCUCUCAACCCCCUAUCAGUGGUAAGAGAGAAUCAACUGACUGUUUUGGGAGUUCACUAUUCUUGGGUUCUCGAGGCAGUGGAGAUUUGAACAAUCUUCACCCUGGUGAUAUAAUCCCUUUUACAAGAAGGCCACUUUUCCUGAUCAUUGAUAGUGACAAUAGCCAUGCAUUCAAGGUCAUGCAUGGAGCGGAAAGAGGUGAGAAAGCUGCCCUGCUCCUCUCCCCUGGGAGGCCAACAUUCCAAAGCCUGUCUUCCGCUGAUCUAACACAUAAUGGAAGUCAGUUUACGUUUUUCCUAACUGCUCCUUUACAAGCUUUCUGCCAAUUGGUCGGUUUCUCCACUUCAGAUACAGAUAUGAAUGUGUACAACGAGGCUGACACCAUACUUUCCUCUGGCUUUUCCGAGUGGGAAGUGAUACUCUGUACAUCAUCCAAAUGCCUGGAUCUGGUUUGGGCCCAAGUUUUGUCCGAUCCAUUUCUACGACGUCUGAUUCUUAGGUUUAUAUUCUGUCGAUCUGUCCUUUCUCUUUUCCGCCGACUGGGAAAUGGUGAUCAGUACCUGCCAGAUUGCCUGCCUCAUCUUCCUGAUUCAGUCUCUCCAACCUCAGCAGCUGUCGAAAUCAACAUUCUCCGGCUUGCAAAAUGCCUCGGGGUCGAGAGCCAUUUUCACUUCACAGAUGCUAUCAAGACUGUUGACGAUGAUGAUUAGAAUCACAAGCAAUUUAAGAAGUUUGUAGAUAAACCAUCAAUUUUUGCAAUCUGAUUUUUCGUCGGUUUGAUGGUCCCAACAUGCGAAGAGCUCAAGAAUGCCAAACCACAGGCUGCAGAGUCCAGUAAGGCAUGCAUUAAUGUCUUAGCCACAACUGGUGUCGAGUUUCUCUGAGUUGUUUGAUUGUAGUAGGAUGGUGGGCCAGGCCUUAGAUGAUGAAGAGACUUGCUGCAGGUUUUGUGCAUCAGUGUGUUAAUCCGUUGUGCUGUAAUAUUUUAUUGUCAUUGCCCGGCAGCAUUCUUCGCAUGGUCUGCUGACCACGGCUCGCUACUGUGCACAUGUUUGUGUGGUUGGUUAAUCUGGAAGGACCAUCCAUCUGAUGGUUCCUGCUAUGGAUUACCCAAGGUACAAAAUCCAUGCCAGUUGUGGACUCUGUUCUAGGUAGAGGUUUGCUAAGCGCGCGUUUUUGUAGGGUACCUGCCCAUUCACACGUACCACAUGUUGGAGUGCCGAGCUUUUGAUCACGUGGGAAACCAACCAAAUCUUCUCCCUCAACAAUAAGGCUGUUUAAAACACUGGUGGUUCACAAUUUACAAAACUAAUGGAUGGUUAAAUCAAAAUCUUAUAGCCAUCCAUUUGUUUUUAUAAACAGUGGCCCACCCGAAGAGUGAAACAGCCUUAUUAUGAGGCCAGAACUAAUUACCGUGUCCCAUGUAAUGAAGGGCUCAGAUCUUGUGCCACAUCGUUGUGCUUGCUGGUAAAUUGGGAGGGCUGUACAUUCUCGGUUGCGCUUGCCAAACCUUUUAUAUCAUUUGCAUUUCCACCCGUCGUCGGAGUUGGCAAUUGGAAAAAUUGGCAUUAACAUCAGUUUGGUUUUCUACCAUGGGCCACCCACCUGGAGCCACCAGAUGGAUGAUCUGGAGUCGCCACUACACAGAUUUGUGUACCAUUGCAAUUCUUAAUGAAA